rnacentral:rRNA from 1 species
GAUGAACGCUGGCGGCGUGCCUAAUACAUGCAAGUCGAGCGAACAGACGAGGAGCUUGCUCCUCUGACGUUAGCGGCGGACGGGUGAGUAACACGUGGAUAACCUACCUAUAAGACUGGGAUAACUUCGGGAAACCGGAGCUAAUACCGGAUAAUAUAUUGAACCGCAUGGUUCAAUAGUGAAAUACGGUUUUGCUUUCACUUAUAGAUGGAUCCGCGCCGCAUUAGCUAGUUGGUAAGGUAACGGCUUACCAAGGCAACGAUGCGUAGCCGACCUGAGAGGGUGAUCGGCCACACUGGAACUGAGACACGGUCCAGACUCCUACGGGAGGCAGCAGUAGGGAAUCUUCCGCAAUGGGCGAAAGCCUGACGGAGCAACGCCACGUGAGUGAUGAAGGUCUUCGGAUCGUAAAACUCUGUUAUUAGGGAAGAACAAAUGUGUAAGUAACUAUGCACGUCUUGACGGUACCUAAUCAGAAAGCCACGGCUAACUACGUG